rnacentral:pre_miRNA from 1 species
AUACUACUCUCUCCAAUCCAUAUUAAUUGUCGAAAUAUUACAUGUAUCUAGACGCUUUUUAGACAUAGGUACAUCCAUAUUUGAACAAAUUUGAGACAAUUAAUAUGGAUCGGAGGGAGUAGAAA